UAAAGGCGCACCAAGAGACGAAAUGAACAGAAAAGUCACUUGUAGAAAACCGAGGGUGCAUAUCAAUUUCUGAUAGCGACUAUAUAUGUCCUUACCAUAGAUUUAACUUUGGUAUUGGUUGGGUUUUUCCAAAAAGAUGCUGUCGCCCAAUGCAUCAAUUAAGUGUUGGUAAAACAUUAUCUGCUGUAAGAAGUUUUUCAAUAAAUAUGUCAACAAAUGUUUCAAAGCAUUACAACAAAAGUGUUCCAGUAGGUUCCGUAUUUUGUCACAAUCAACUUAAGUCAGAGCACAUUCUAAAUCAAACUAAAACAAGUAUUGCCGCUUACGAAGAGCUAGUUGAAGGCACAACUAAUUUUGAUUUUGAGCCUAAUGAAAUUUUACUUUCUAGAGAAAAAGUUGAAGGUUUUACUGGUAAUAUAACAUUUACUGGUAACAACUUGUCAGAAGCACUCCACAUCAGCCCUUUUCAGUUUCAGAUAAUGAACAAAAAGACAUCUGAUCUCAGCAAUGGAACAAAAAAUAAUUUACGAAGAAAAUUUGAAAGAGCCAAGGUACAGCUUGCAAAAAGGUUUGCUGAAGCUGUUGCCCCAUAUCAGAAUGAAGACUAUAUCUCAUUUGUUUUAAAUAGAUCUUUGGAAGCUUCAGAUAAUGAUGUAGUACCUGAUGAUUAAAAAAUUGGUUAAAAUUUAUGAAGAAAGUGACUCUAUGGGAAAACAUAUUGUUCUGUGUUUGAUUGAACAUGAAAAAUUUACUAAGAAGUUGCUAAUAAAAGUUUUCGGAUGCUCCAAAUAUAAGAUAGACCAGGAACGAAAAAUAAAGAAUGUGAACAUAGAUAUAAUACGUAAAAUAGACUAGACCAGAAAAAAGCUGAGCAAUUCCUCGAUUUCAUAUUUAACAGGUACCUUCUUUAAAAUGUUGCAUAUGGAGUUACAAAAAUUAAAUUUGGCUUAAAUGAUGUAUAUAAAAUAUCUUGUGCAGUUUUGACAGCUAAAAUGAGUCAUACAAUUGCAUUUUAUAAUCAAGUUUGCAGAAGUGAGAAUUACUCUCCUUUAUCAAAAAGUAGUUUGUGUCGAAUACUUCAUGCUGUUAAACCAUCUCAACAAAAAUGUUUAGCGGGACUGGAUGAUAUUACUGCUGCAGGUAUGAAUGGUUUCUGCAAGAUUAAUCUUUGAAGUACAAGAAUAGAGAGCUGAGUUAUAUAUUUGAACGUAGCAAACAAUAUUACAAAACUAGCUUCCAGUUUAUCUGCAGGACAACCUACCCUAAUUCUAUUUCACACUGCCCAAUAUUUGCUUUGAGUGAUUUAACCAACAAACAAUUGCAAAAGAUUUCAAUAGCACCUAAUGAUAUGAUUUGUUAUGAGUGUGAAAAUUUAAACUAAUCCUUAGUUGAACUAAAAAGAUUAGCAUCAGAUAAUUCAGCCGACAUGGAUACUAUUUCUGAUAUUGAAAUUGCUGAAAAAGAUAUCAUUGAUUAUAAAAAAACAUUUAAUGCGUGAUUGUCAACAGAAAAAUGCCAAAGUUUUUGCUUUUGAAAGUCUUGAUGAGGAAUCUGGAUUUUGGUUGCCAAAAAGUCUAUUGCCAAAAAGUUCUACCAUCCAAAUUCCGGGAAGGUCAAUAGGAAUAUUUUGGAAAAAAGGGGAUGUCACUGCAUGUAGGCAUUUUCUUCACUAAGAAAAAAACAUUUUACAGUAGCAAGGAUCAGUGCCACAGAAAAGCUGCCGGAGCAAAGUCAUUGAUUUGUAGCUUUGUUGAUGCUGGUAACGAUUUGAUGUGUGCAUAGGACAUUUAUACUGCUUUACAUUAUGGCCAUGGGAAAAAAAAUUCUGCUGUUGGUGUUGCCACUAUAAAAGGCAAAAGCAAGUUGAGUGGAACAAAAAUAGGUAAAAUAAAUCAAUAUCAUUCGUAUGAGUUUUUUCAAAAUGUGACAAUGUGGCGAUACUAUGCAGUUGGCAAUGGAGUUAAACAAGAAUAUUCUAAUGUCAAUUUUGAUCUGUAAAUGUUUUUAACACACCCAUAUAUUAAUACUGAAAAGAAAACUCGAGUUUUUAAAAAGAAUAUGAAGAAGAAAUUUCCUGUAGAUAGAUCACUAAAUUGGUUUGGCUUUUGCUAUGAGCCAAUUUGUAAUGGAUCAUUCCAUACAUCAGAAGAAUUAGAAGAACAUGAUGUCGGGAAGGCACAAUAUCAGCACUUUAAAAUCAGGAACUUAUAAUGUGAGACAGAGUUUCAUAAUGAAGAUGCAAAUCAGUCAAAUUUACAUAGUUAUAAACCAAACUCACAACAGGAGGUAUUUGAAGAAGUAUACUCUGACAUUAGCAAGUAUGUUAAAGGUUAGGUAAACUACACGCAGUACCUUCCGGUAUAGUAUGAGACAAAAAGAUAUAAUUACAUAAACUUUUUAUAGAAAGUGAAGUAUCUGGAAAAAAGUUUAGCUCAGAGCAAGUGCACCUUUUAAUAAGAAAAGAGCUACAAGUCUCAGAAUGCGUAACAACUCAGCAACUAAGAUCACUAUUUUCACGUUGGAGCAGGCUAAAAAAAGACAAAAGAUUGAGUCAACCAAUUGAUGUUGGUAAUGGUAAUGUGGAUAACAAAGAAGAAGAGACAGCAGAUCAAGAGAAGAAUUAGCAAAUGAAGAAUUUGAAAAAGGGAUUUAUAAAUAUUGCCAUUGAUUUAUCUUGUGCAUGGCACAAAAACAAUUGGAUUGUUGUUAUUUAUAUGGGCAAUUGGUAUUCUGGUUCUCGGUGAUGGUUACAUUGUGAGCUGUAUGAAGUAUGCUUCUGCAGACAAGAACCUUUUUAAGUGGCCAGCUUUUCCUGAUAUUAUAAAGUACAAUGACAGUGAAAUCAUAUGUGGAAUUCUACCACCAUUACCAUUAAAACAGCACGGAGACUAUAAGUUUAUAGAUGAACAAUUUAAAAAAGCCCAAAAAGAAUUUCAAGCAACAAUGCAUUAUUAUCAAAGGCAUAAGGAUAAAGAUAUGUAAAACUGAUUUAUUAUGCAAACAAUGGUAUAACAAGAUAUAGACAUAAUAUAAGAUCUUGAUUAAUUUCGCUGCAAUAUUCGGUUUUUUUUUUAAAUAUAAAAAAAAUUUAACUUUUUGUAGUGAGGUUAUUUUAACAAUGCAGUAUUACCCCCUAAGUUUUUUUUUUCAUUAAAUAAAUUGUAGUAAUAUAAUGUAGUAAUAUAAAAUCUGUAUCCUCAAUUAUGAGAUCUUUCUCAUUUUCCAUAAUGCCUGAUAUUUGAAUGCUAGUUAAAACAUUUUUUGACACUUUGAUGACUCAUAACCUUUUUUGUAAACAAUAUCCUCUCAGUUUCUUUAGACUAUUCAAAUAACAAUAGGAUACUCUUUCCAAAAAGCAGGGCUGUGGAGUUGGAGUCAGAGUCGGAGUUGCGAUAUUUUUAGCGGAGUCAGAGUUGCUAAACAAAAUUGCAACUUUGACUCCAUUAGUAAAAUUUCUUGGUAUUGCACGUGCAUGUACAAAUCAUUCAAUCAACCUUAUAUUCAUACUAAACCUCAAAGAACGUCCAUAAAUUUGUCAAAAAAGAAAUUUUUAACUUAUCGCGUUUU
rnacentral:lncRNA from 1 species